UCCAUGUGGUGGUUGGCCUGUGGACAGAAAAAGUUCCCAGGUUGCCCAAAACAUAGUUCGUAGUAGGAAAGAUCUCCAAGUGUGCUGCCAAGGAUUUAGGAACCCUAAGCCUUCUAUUUCCAUGGUUGGGCAGUCUUUUGCUGCAUCAUUUUUCAAAAUGGGACCUACAAACUCCCCCUGUGUUGCCUGUGUCCUAGGAGGAGUGGGAGAAAAUGGUUUUAUUUUACUUUGCUGUAUUCAUCCAUUUCUCCUUCCAGUCCCAACAACAACAGCGGCACGCAUCACACUCAAAGCAGUCUCACUCAGUGCCACUACCCAGAGCAGUCAGGUCACCACGAAGAACAUCUCCUGGCACAGCCCGGAUCCAGGAAGAAGCAAGGAGAACAUGCCCAAUUUCUACUGUAAAUCAGUCAUGUGGGUUAACCUGCUUUGUGCCUGCCUCCUGCUCCUCACUGCCAUAACCAUCACCAUCACGCACUGCCAAAGACCAAGCUCACCGUAAGCAAGCAGUGCUGCGUCGCUGCUCAGCAGAAGGCACACAGGUGUCCUCCUCAAGCACCGCACGGAUCCCAUCAGCAACACACACAGCUGCCCUGAUGCUGCGCGGGCAUUUGGCUGCUCCUCCUGUGCUGCCCACCAGCACUGCACACCUCCCGCGGCCUGAC